GUACAAUUAAAAAAAAAAAAAAAAGGAAAUGGCAUUCUGAAGGUGACUAAGGAGAAAGUCAAAUCAUUGAUAUUGUUUUAGGUCAAUAAGACAGUUUUCUGAUGUGUCUUAUUGACCUAAAACAAUAUCAAAACACAUCACAGAUGCACAAUGUUUAAUGGGUUCAUUCUGAAAGGACACCUCAAAUCUGUUAUGAAAUUGUGAAGUACCCAGACUUCUUCAGCUUACUUUAAAAAAAAAAUUUGGGCUUUGUAUCUCUUUCUACUGAGUUGUAUGUAUGUUCAAAAUCUUGCCAAAGAGCAAGAUUUUGUAGAACAACAAGAGUAAAUGAAAACUUCCUGACAUGGUGAUUUAUUUCUUUUUUUAUCUUUAUUGAAGUAUGAUUUACAUAAAAUAAGUUUCACUUUGAAGUAUAGGGUUUAAUGAAUUUUGGUAAUUGUAUAUAGCUAUUAUAACCUUUACCAUAUAAAGAUAUAGAUAAAUUCUAUUACUCCAGAAAGUAGUCUUUGUGUCCCUUUGCAUUUUAUCUUUCCUCCUGACCUCUGGCUCCAGGUAAUCAUUGAUUUUACUUUCUGUCAAUGUAGUUUCACCUUUUCCAGGUUGUCAUACACAUGGAAUCAUACAAUAUGAUAAUCGUUUCAGUCUGGAUUGUUUUGCUUAAUAUAGAGGGCUUUUGAGAUCUAUCUGUAUUGUUUUUUUUUCUUAUUGAUAAGUAGUAUUUCAUAUCAUAGAUAUACUCUGAUUUGUUUACCCACUCACCAGUUGAUGGGCAUCUGGGUUAUUUCCAGUAUUUGGCGAUCAUCAAUAAUGCUGCUAUGAGUAGUCAUGUAAAUUUAUUUGUGUGGAAAUAGGUUUUCAUUUAUCUUGGGUAAAUAUCUAGAAGUGUGUUUGCUGGGUCUGCCAUACUGUUUUCCAAAGUGGCUAUACUGUGUUGCACUCCCCAGCAGUAUAUUAGAGUCUGGUUGUUCUUAUCCUUGGCAACACUUGAUAUAGUCAGUCUUUUUAACUUUAGCUAUUCUAGUAGAUGUUUAGUGGUCAUUCUUGUUGUAGUUCUAAUGUGCCUUUUCUUGAUGAGUAAUGAUGUUGAGCAUCUUUCUUAGGCCUGUUGUAUAUUUGCAUAUCUUCUGUCAUAGCCUGUGCAAAUCUUUAGCUUACUUUAAAAAAAAAUUUGGGCUUUGUAUCCUCUUUCUACCAAGUUGUAUGUAUGUUCAAAAAUAUUCUGGAUUCAAGCCCUUUGUCAAAUAUAUGGUUUACAAAUAUUUUCUGAGUCUGUGGCUUGCAUUUUUAUUUUAUUUUAAAUUAUGGGGUUUUAUGAUGCAUAGAAGGCUCAUUCCUUCGUGGCUACUUUCUACAUGGCAGCUUGAACUAUGUAUGCUUAGUUGGGUGGCAGUGGUGGCUGUACCCUGGCUUGCUCAUGUUGUUGGUCACCCUGAAGUCCUUGUUAAGGCCCUCAGCCUUGGAGGUGAGCAGCCCUGGCUGCUGCUAUCCAAUGGCUUCAUUUCCUUAAUUGUGUCUUUGGACAGCAAAAAUGUUAAAUUUUUAUUAACUUCAUUUUACCUAUUUUUUUCCUUGGUUGUGCUAAUUGUGUCAUGCUUAAGAAAUUUUUUGCUUAAUCCAAUGUCGUAGAGAUUUUUUUUUUAGAAGUUUAAUAGUUUUUUACAUUUAGGUCUACCAUUUCAUUUCUAAUUAAUUUUGAAUCUGACAUAGAAAUUUAAACCCUGCUUCCACAAAAGUCCUCUCUUUUUGCUGAUGUACCACAUAGCUCAUCACAUAACUCUGUCAGGUUAACCAUGGCCAUGUAGAAACUAGAAUAAAAGAGUGUGUGGGUGUGAGACUCAGGCAAACGUUUUAAAGCUGGUAGCUGUUCAGUUCCCAAGUUCUAUAACAAAUGGUAUUGUUUAAAUUGGGCUUGUGAGUUUUUGUGUGUGUUGGAUGUGCAGAAAGAAUGCGAGGGAAAUAACUUAUGGUAGAUAUGGACUUCAGGUAAUUUUUUAAAGUCAUUAAACUCUUGGCAGAUAUAUUUGAAGCUAAGUUAACUGGAUAGAAUAAGGAAUGACUGUAGUGCCCAUUUAUGCCUCCAAGUUUUGUUGAAUCUUAAAUAUUAGACCAAACGAUAUCGUUUUGCUUGGUUUUUACUUCUCUGCCCAUUUCCAGGAAGCACAAACUCUUUAUUUGAAGAGGACAAGCUAUUUUCUUAUUUCUGCAAAUCUAUUUGAAAAAGGGAAGAACCAAUGGGAGAAAAUUUCAGUCUGAUGUUCUUUUUCCUAGCAUACCUUUUGCCUGUUACCACUCCCACAUCCCCUGUUUCUAAGAUAGUCUGAAAUUUCAAAAUGCCUACAAAAAGUUCUCUGUCUUUAGGUUGUUUGGAAUUGUUAAUUAUUGGUGGCAAUGGAUGAGUGUUCAGCACCUUGGAACUUUUGCAAAAGAAACUUAAUAAGGAUACGUUUGCUGUAGUUGGAAAAGUAUUUGAUGAACAGCUGACCUUUCAAAUGUUUGCAUGAGUUCAAUCUCUGAACUGCUAAUGUUAGGAAGGUCCAAGUUCCAAUUCAGACUCAGACACUGAAUCCCUUUGUAGAGAAAUCUUUGAAAUCUCUUCAGCUGCAGUUUAUUCUCUCUCUUUUUUUAAGGCUAACUUCACCUACCAAUUAAUUGGUUAAUGUUUGUAAAUGUUUUGAAAAGGUGAAAAGCACUUUCUCAGGGAAGUGCCCUAUUGUUCCCUCUCCCGAUUGUGGUUUGCCAUUCACCUGAGUAAGUGGAUAAGCCAUGGGCCAAGUUUGCAUUGUAGAAAGGAAAUGAUUCUACAUAUACUUAGCCACGGGAUGGAAAAAAUAUGUUUCUUUCACAUAGACUUUCUGAAUAAAGCUUCCACUGUUCUGAGCAAAAAAAUGCAAAAAGGAGCCUUGUUGUCUGGAUUAGGUCACUUAUAAAUACCUUUAAAAAUAUUUACAUAAAUGUCUACUGACUAACCAAUUCUCUGAGCACAUUCCAUAAAAAUUUCUUCUCCAUUGCUUUUAGAAAUUUGCUUUUUUUGGUCCAUUGUGUCGUACGUGAAGCCUCUUGUUCAUGGUGCACAGUUGACUUAAAGAAGCCAAUCUAUCUAAAAGAACUGGGAAGGCGGGCUGGGGAUAUUAACAAGAGCCUCCUUCCUAAUUGUGGCUUUUUCCCCUGAGGUCCUGUUGCAGCACACAUUUUUUUUUCUUUCCUAGCAUCAGUUACUUCAUUGCUUAAGUGACUCUUUUAGAUAAGUUCGUGUGUCUCUCAUGGGCUGCUCCAAUCAGCAAGGCAGUCUCACCCCAACUAGUGUCACAAUACUCCCUUUGUGGUUCUGGACAUUAUACAGAGAGCAGCAAGCCACGGUAUUUCUGUAUCUUCGCUGGAAAAUGGCAUUUUAAAAUUGCUCUAAAUGCAUGCAUCCUUUUGUGCUUGCAGUUGGAGUAUAAUGGGAAUUAUCAGAGAAUCACAUGUCUUUGCCAUAGACUUCAUCUGGUUCCCAUGAAGCAUCCAGGUUUCCUACUGCAGUGUUUAUCUCUUUCCUACUGAGGGCAGUCCUGAGGAACUGGGGCGAGUGAAUCAAACGGCCUUGGAAUCCUACAAGAGAUUGUAGGAUUGGUUCUCACCUUCUGCUGCUGGGUAUGAGCCAAGAAAUGGGCAUGUGACCUAAGCUUGGAAAGUUGAAUUUUCCUGGUUAAUUGAAUCUUGAGUGGAAUGGUGCGAAGUCAGAAGCAACAGUUGGAGCUUAUGCAUUCCAGGAAUAUUGCCCUGAUGGCUAAGCAAAGCCUGGCCUUGCUCCUUUCCUGUUCCCAAAUCUGGUUUCCUAUAUCCCCUGUCAAUUUCAUGAGAUUCACCAAUAUUCUGUGGGUUUUUUUUUCUUUAGUUUUCCUUUUGGUAGAGUGGUUCUCUGUUGCAUAUAAUCAAAGAGCUCUAACUUACAUGUUCAGGCUCUGACCCUGUCUCCUUGCUACCAGCCUUGUCCCCUCCCCACCAUCUCUUGCCUGGAAUAUCAUAAUAGCCUCCUCAAUGAUCAAAGUAUAUAUAUAUAUAUAUAUAUAUAUAUAUAUAUAUAUAUAUAUAUGAAACCUUUGUGACCUUGUCUCUUUCUCCCUCCUUGCUAUACUGAUCUUCUUGCUGGUCCUCUCCUGCCAGGCAUAAUCCUGCCCUAAGCCAUUUUCACUGGCUCUUCCUUCUGCCUCAAUUACUUUUUCUCCGGAUAGCCACUUUGGCUUACUCCUUCACCUCCACCUUCACAUCAAAGGUAACAUUCUCGUGUUGAAAUAUCACAUACUUGGUGAGGCCUUCCCUGACCACCCUGUUUAAAAAGCCAAGACUCUCCUGCUAUAGGCAUUAUUUACCCAUUUCCAAGCUUAUUUUAAAUUUUAUUUUAUAAAAUUUUAUCACCAUCUAAAAUACCAUAUUAUUUUUCUUAUGGAUUUUUUAAAGAUUGCCUGUUUAUGCCUACCAGUAUGUAAGCUUCAAAAGGGCAUUAGUGUUCACCGCUGUUAAUCCCAGCAUAUAGAAUAGUGCUUGGCACAUUAAUUUGUUGAAUAAAUGAUAUGGCUUUGGGGGAGCACUUUUGUUUUAUUUGACUUAUAUUGUUAAGAUCAAGCAUAGUGCAUGGCACAGCAUAGGCACAUAAUAAAUUUUGUUUUUAUUGUUGUCCCUGACUGCUAGGACUAUUAAAGAGGACAGUCUUCAGGAUCUAUUCCUGUCAGUUUCAGUCUGGUUGAUAAGUGGUUUGUAAUAAUCAUAGGGGCUAACUCCACCCAGUAUUUGAGCUUGCAUUUAUUUUGAUGGGAAAAAAAAAGCAACCUGGUCAGGAUAGAACUUGCUUAAAGAAAGGCUCAGAUUAGUUUCAGUGAGUUUACACAGUCAGCGUUUUGGCGGUGAGGCUCUGAAGUUGAAUCAAGCCAAGAAAUACAAUUGAUCAUCCUAGUCUGCAAAUUUCAUUUGCAAGUUCAAUUGAAGUGUAAGUGUAAUGGGAUCAUGUUAUUAGUUCUCUUAGAGGCAAAGAUUUCCAGGAUAGGAAAAUCUGUGUGUGCUUGCUGGGUCAGUGAGAAAUGGGCUGGCAAUGCAGUGUUCCUGGGGGCACUCCUCCCGGGACGGAAAGACAUAGGAAGGGACUAUUACUAAGCAAGGUGUUUUGAUCCCUCUCCCCUUUUCUCUACCUUCCCCCUGCCCACCCAUCCUUCUGAUUGAAACAAACAAUUGUGGUAUUGUGACAAAAAGAGAAGUAUAAUUUUAAUCCAAAUUUAGUUCAUUCUUUCAGUCAGAAUAUUUCUUUUCUUCCUUCUACAAUUAAACAUUCUAAUUUUCUUUUUCCACUGCAAAAUUGUGUCUUUUAGGUUGGCAGGGCUUCAAGUGGUAUUAAUUGUAAUUUCUAAUUAUUUAAACUAUUUUAGUGAUUAGUGAAAACUACUUCUAUAAUUAUAGGAUAGUGUUGAACAAUGGAGUUCUUUCAGAAUCCCUUUGGUCACUUUCAAUUUAGUUAGAAAAAAAAAAAAAAACCGCAAAGGCAAAAAUAUAAGUUUUGAGAAACUACCCUUUUUAGUUUCAAACACUCAUUUAUGUUCUUCUUAUCAGAAGUAGACUAAAAAUUUUUCUGUGCACUUGAGAGAAUAGUUCUUGUGUUCAAUUUCUUCAUAAUGCAAAGAGAACUUUUCCCUUCUAAGCAAUUUUUGAAAUGCUGAGAUACUUUUUUCCCUUUAUAACUCAGCUCUGGAACCAAAAGUUUCUUCCUUGGAUUUGUGAAUUCCCAACCCCCAAGAGUAUAGUCCAAGUUUAUUUUGAGCCUUUUUUUUUCUUUUCAAUGAAAGUAGUAAAUGGCACUGGCAAUAUUUGAGUUGGAUAAAUUCCAGUUAAGGUAAAGUCCAACUUGUUUGAGACCGGCUAUUCAAAUCAAAACCACCUAGUGCGGGAGGUGGUUCUGUUGCGUCCAUGUGUCCGAGGGAACAAGAGAAGAGCUCUUUUAAUGGGGGUAGAGAGCUGACUCUCAAACUUCCUGUGCACAUAUCUAUUAAAGAAAUAAGAUAAUUCUCUAAGAACUCUAAGCAAGAGUUUACUGUUUGGUUUGGGAUUUGUUUUUUGUUUUAUUCAAGCUCACAUAUUUAUGGGAGUCAAAUAUGUUAUGUGGAUGUUUAAUGGAUAUUCAGAUGGCAGCAUCAGUGUCCUGUUUUUAUUUUAUGUCUGUUUUAUGAGGUCAAAUAAAGUAACUGUCCAGCUCAUACGAUGUGAUCCUUUUCAUUAUUUAUCAGAUAAUAUGCAUUUAUAGUCAGUGGAACAACAGUAAGCUCCAGAUAGUGAGUACCAUUCUUACUAAUUUUUCUAUCCUGAGACCACAGGAACUAUGUCUCCAAUGUUCAGGAUGUAGCAGGCACUCUAUACAUGCUUAAUGUGAAUUAACUGAAUUAAUGGGAUGGUUGUUGUUUUAUUGUGAUUUAGUUUUUCAACUUAUAGAAAUGCAUCAAUGAUCUCUUUGAUAUGUUGUAUUCUCAGUAUGCCUUUGAGAGUUUAUUAGGAUACACAUAUUAGGCUUAUAAUAAUAGUUCUUUGAAUUUGAAUGACUUUAUGAGAAACAUUCAUAUCGAUUAUUUUAUCAUGUUUUCACCACAUCACUGUGAAAUUAGGAGGCAUGGAGACCAAAAGUUUAAGUGACGGUUUUUCAUCAUUAUUUACUCUGACACCUAGGCCAGUUCUCCAUUUUUUACUAACCAUGUGGUGGGCAUAAUGAACACAUUGAUUGCCUAAAAAGAAUUGUCUUCCUAAAGGCUUGUUGAUUGACAGGGUUAAAACACAAUCAUGAUGUGGAACUCAGAAAUAAAGCUCCUAAAACCUUUACAUUAUUGGCAUGUGUUUUAAGGCUUUAAUUGAAGUAGCUGUUUUCAAAAUUCAAGUUCAGCUUGAUGGAAAAAUCAACUCAGGGCUAUCUAUGGAGGAUUGUUUACUUGAUAGGUUAGCACAACACUUGCUGGUUCAUUCCAAGUCUGGCUUUUUACUGGGUACACCUGAAGGUAUGUACCCACAUUGCAAAAGAGUUUUAACAGCAAAUUCAACAAGAUGGAAAUGCCUUCUCAAUUAUUAUACUAAUACACCUAUUGUUCAACUCCCAAAGUGGGAGCAUUGAGAGCUGAUUUGAAAUGAAAACCUUUACAGUAAAACACUUAUUUAAGGUCUGAAAACAUAUUAGAAAGAAAUAGCCUAUCCUUCCUUAAAAUUGCUUAGAAUUUUUUUUCCCUUUGCUUUGCCUAUCUUAUGGUCUUUCUCAUUCUCUUAGCACCACAAGGCCUGGGGUUCUAUUCAGUUACCUCUUCUUUCCAUACACAGUUUCUGCAGUUGGUUCUGUCAAAAAGAUGAUCAAUAUUUCAUUGACUGAUGUUUCAGAUUUUAGAUCUGGAAAAGUCCUGUUUUUUUUUUCACCAAAAUUUAAUCAUCCCAAUCAUUAAGGUUAUCUUAUGUUUGCUCAGAUCAAGCUUUCAUUUCCUAAAUUUUAUUGCAGAGAUUGAACCUGGAUUUUUGUUUGUUUGUUUUAUUUUAUCUUCUUUCAGUGAUGGGGUCUGGCUAUGUUGCCCAGGCUGGAGCACAGUGGCUAUUUAUAGGUGAGAUCAUGGUGCACUGCAGCCCCAAACUCCUGGGCUCAAGGAAUCCUCCCGCUUCAGCCUCCUGAGUAGCUGAGACUGCAGGUCCAUGCCAACAUGCCCAGCUCUAAGACAGGAUUUAUUAAUGCCUCCGGAAACUUUCAUUAAGACAGUUGAAUUCUAUUACACUUAUUUUUCUCUAACUGAUCUCAUCUAAAAGUUUCAAACAUUUUUAUUCUUCCUUUUUACAACUCUCGGAUUUUAAAAAUCUUGAAAUACAUCCAACUAUAUGAUUGACUCAGAUUUAAUUAUAAUUCAUUAUAACUUCCAAUUUUUUUUUCAUCUUAAUAUAUGGACAGGGACCUUACUCUGUUCCAUUUUUUUUGUUAAUUCCUAUCCUUUAGGAUGUGCCUGUUUUAUUCAUAGGAUAAGCUUCAUACAUUGUUAUUUACUUAAUGAGUAAAUUGAUAGUAGUCUAUACCUGUAUUUCUUAAUAGUGACAACAACACUGUAAACAUUGUUCUCAUAUAAAUGCUAGAUAAGUAAGAGUGGUAACAAAACAAUGAAUUUUUUUAACAGAACUGAGGGUUAUUGCAACCAUUAAUGCAUAAUAAUGUGUGUUGAAGAUAAUGGUAAAUUUAUCUCAAUAUCUUUUUAUGUCCACCUUGUUCACCCUGUCUUUUGAUAUUUGAAUAGGACAGCAACAGACUUUAAUGGCUAAUCUUAGAUGGUUAUCUUCUUUUAUCCCUUGAUUAAAGUUUUAAGAGUACCCCCAUUCUUAGAACAAAAUAUUAUCACUUGGUUGGGGCAAAGAUAGCUUAAAUCACGAGAACAACUUAUGCAUAUCAUAACUGCCCAUACCUUACCAAAUGAGACUCUGAUUCUAUAUAUAUUAUUGUAAGCCUGUUAGCCUUUGAGAGCAAAGCAGUCACAGGGUGUAUUUUUUAAGUUGGUGAUAGGUUUUUGCUUAACAAAUGUUAAGCAAAUUGUGUCUAAAGUCCCCGUAAAUUUAAAGAGUGAACGUUGGGUUGCUAGCCCAGUGAUUAAGAACUCCAUAAAUGUCAUAUUUCAUGGGUAGAUAUGAAUAACUGAAACUUCUUAUCUACAGUGACCUCAAGAAUUUUUCUCAGUGAUGGAGCAGGCAUCUAAAGGUUAGCUCUUUAAAGUUCAAAGGUAACUCAGACAGUGAGACAUUGGAUCAGAUGUGUGAGUGGAUUUUUCAUCUAAUGUGCAGCAAUGUGAAAGGGCUUUGGAGUUUGCCUGCCUGACUUUGAAUCCUGGCUCUUGUAUUUGCAAGCCCUGUGGAAACGCUAGUAAAUGAUUUAACAUUUUUGUGUUUGUUUUCCUAUUUGCAUAAAGGGUGUAAUUAUAGUACUAUACUCAUAAGGUUUUUGUAAACUUGAAAUGAUACACUCAGCUUAAAGUGCUCAGCAGUCAGUAACAGUCAGAUAUUAUUAUUCCUCCCUCUCUAUGAGGUAUUUCUAGAUCUUUUUGUAGCCAUCUGCUCAACUUUUCCAGGACACACCUGACCCAGGGACUACUUCAAUCUGCUCCCACAGACUUCCUCUCUCUUCCCUUUUUUCCUUUCCAAACCGACAGGGGUGUGGAAUGCAAUCUUUCUAAUUUGUUGUCCCUUUCAUUUUCAGAGUUUUAACAUUGUUUACUAAGAGAAAACAGAGUUUAACAAGCGUGAGGUGUUAAAAUUUAAAUUCUACAGAGUCCCUACAGUUAUGAUCUCUGGUAUGAUUCUUGCUUUCUUUGCAGAAAAGUUCUUCAUUCAUUCAAAAAGUACCCGCUUUCUCCUUUCUCCAUGAAGACCCUCUUUUAGAAGAAUCAGUACAGAGUGUGUGUGCUUGUUUGAUGGGGUAACAAUUACAGAUUUCUGCUCCAUACAGGAAACUUUCCUUUGGGAAUUCUUUUACAAACUCAGCACAAAGUAUGUUAUAUUAAUGAUUUCUCAGAUUCAAAAAGUGCUUGUGGUUGCUCAGUAUGGGACUUCUGAAAAAAAUGUGUAGCUGCAAUUUGUGGGGAAACUAUAUUGAGAAAUAGGUUGUGAAAUUUAUCUUUUAUAAGGGUAUUGUUGAUGUUUUUGUUCCAUUUGUUGUCCUCUUUUGAAAAACUCUUAGGAAAAAUUCCUGUCUUGCUUUAGUAUCCGUUGAUUAUUAAUUUAUUUUCCUAAGUCAUUGUUCCAUCUUAGGAUUCAUACUAUAUAUAAGUGAUUAAGCCCAUCUUCUCUGAUAUUUUUGCCUUUUUUUAAACCUCAUCUUUUUUUCCCCUUUUUAGUAUUUACAUUUUAAUGUAGUGACUUUAUAUUUUAAAUAUCUUUGUAAGCUACCUUAAAUAUUUCCUAAAACCAAGGUAGUUGUUGUAUUUGUAAGUCUUCAAACUAUGGCAUUCUAAAAUCCAUAAUUUCUUCACAAUAGUUAUAAUUAUUUGUUUAUCUCUGUGUACCAUGAACUGUACAAAAACACUUUAUAAAUUAUCUUCUUGAAUCUUCAUAAUAGCACUAUGCAGAAGAUAUUAUUUCCCUUUUUAGGUGAGGAAACUAAGGUAUAAAGAGAUUAAGAUCAUAAAAUGAGUGUAUUAGAAAGUCACAUUUUGAAUUCAGUGGGACCCAGAACUUGGGCUCCAUCCUCUACCAUUUCUAAUUACUUGAAAAAGGAUAAAGUAAAUAGGACCUCUGUGUUUUGAAGGCUUAUUGACUUAUGACUUUUGUAUGUUAGGGGCAUAAGUAUGCUGGCAAUCCAAAUCUUUGUUGGCAAUGGUAUUUGAACAGCUCAAUGUCCAAGGACUUUAAAAAAUGUUGGAAUAACUUAGCAUUAUUGUUAAAAGUCAAAUUACAGAUUAAAAAGAGCAUAAUAGGCACCUUUGUUUGCAAUCAUCUCUAAGAUAAUUUUACCUGAAUUUAUUUAAAAUGUGUAGAGUGGCCAGGAAAGACUAUUAGAUGCAUCAUUACAUAUUACAAUUUUUGUGAAAUUGUGAAAUUCAAUCAUUGGUUGUGUGAAGAAAGAUACUCUUAGGGAUCAACUUUCACUGUUAUUGUUGUUUGCUUUAUUUUAUUUCAUUUUAAAAAUCUACCUGACAGUUCAGACAGGUGUUGUUCAUUUUAAAAAUGAAUUGUAAAUUCAUCUGAAAAUGAGCUAAUAUCCUUGAAUGUUUCUAUUUGCUGUGUCUAAAAGCCAGAGUGCUUCAUCCCAGCCACACCUCCUAGCUAUACUGAUGAAUUGUGAAGGAGAGAGGAGGGAAGAGCAGCCUGUUUUCUUCUGCCCUUGACUGAGAAGUCCAAAUAUAUUUUCUUUAGAGUGUGCUUUAUUGUCUUUCUACAGAAUAUUAACUUAUAAGUGAAAAAAAAUUUUCUUUUCUUUUUAUUCCCAAUUUCCUUAAAAAUCUCCUUCCAAGCAUUUAAAAGCUUUUUUGGCUUCAUGUGCCUCCAGUGUUAACACUGGCAAUUGGUGCAACUUACAAUAGUGCAUUAAAUAUAAACCUAAUUUUUACAUCACUUGCUUAAAGCAAUUUGUGGUAAGCCCUGUUGGUAAUGAUAUGAAUUAUAUGGCAUUAUGAAUUAUAAUUCAUAUGUGAUAUGAAUUAUAUGGUAUUAUGAAUUAUUGCCUGUGGGGCUCAUGCAAUGGAACUAUAUAGAUGUAGGCAUUUACAUGUUAACUUCAGUAUUAAUGAGUCUGUACAGAUUAAUUUUUGUUGUGUCUUUGUCAGCUUUGAAUAAGGCCAUGAUGAGUUUCUGUGUCCUUGAGUUAGGUAAUUUCCUGUCUGGGAAAGAGACACUAAGUAAUUAAAAGAAAUGAUUUUAAGUACUUUUUGGAAUUUCAAAUUAACUUCUGACAUAAACCUUUCUCAUCUGGAUAACUUCUCUGUCUUGAGAUUUUUAGUGGCAUGCCCUGUUCCCUUCAUGUAGUUAGAACAUUGUAGGGUAUUUGAGCAUUUAGCAGGUUGUAUCAAGUGUUUUGAAGCCUCCUGAGGAGUACACGGAAGCAUUAUUUUCUAAACUUUUCUGGCCUGUCUCUUUUUGUGAACGGGGGCAUUUGUUUUGGUUUGAACUGCCCUGUGUUUGAUUUUAGUCUGAUGGAUGUUUCCUUGGCCCUGAACUCUGCACAGUUAUGUUUUGCUUAGAGCACUCACCUUCAGUGAGUCUAACUUUCCUCUUUGCUGCCUUAGUUCUCUAGAGACCUUUUGGCUUUGUGUUUAUUUUUUAUUGUUGUUCUAAGGUCUGUGCCUUUACCAAAUUAGAUUUACCCCUCAAUUUAACCUUGCUUUUUAAAAUAGAAGGUGAAAGCAACACUAUCCUCUAACCUUUCUCAGCUUCAGCUGAGGUUCACAUGAGAGAAGCAAGCACUACUGAAAAUGACUUCAGUGGUUGUUUUCUUGUACCCUGAGAGUGGUACAUAGGUAGUACCCUUCUGGACGCAUAGAAGAGAAUUAAUUCACUCCAUUAACUGAUGCCUUUAGACAUUAGAGCUUAACUAUCUUAUACAACCCCAGUUUAGAAGGACAGUAAAACUUGGUUAAAAUGGAUCCCCGCAAAAACCGGUGGGAUGAACGUUGCUCCCUCAGUGCCUGCAUUGCACAAGGUCAUGUAUAGGACACCCUAAGAUGGAUUAUUUCAUUUAACAUGAGGCUUCUCUUGAAAAGCUGUGAAAAUAGGGCCACUGAUAGAGCUUCAAUUUGAAUUUUCAUUGUCUUUUAAAAGCCUUACAGGAGACCCAGGCUAAGUCAAGUAUGUUGGUUUCUCUUGCAGCUGGAAUAAUAAAUCAAAGACCUUGAGACCCUUGACUACCUGAUGAUAGGGACCAUGUCCGUUUUGCACUCUUCUCUAUCCUUAGCGAAUAGAAUUUCUGGCCUAUUACAGGUGUAUGAUAAAUAUUUUUGUUAAAAGUCAGAUGUAAUCUAGACCAGAUAUACUGUGCAUGUUUAUUCUUAAUAUCCUCCAAGAUAGUUUUAUAUGCUUUCAUUUAAAAUGUCUACAGAUUAUAAAUAGAAUGUGAAUCUGGUUAUGGUCUUGCCGAGCCCCCAGAUCUUUAUUAACGUGGGUGAAUAAAAAUUCAGAGAAGGCUAGGCUUGAGUGGAUUUGUUUGAUGAACCUGGUGGGUGAGAGAGGCAAGCUUCAACAAGAGAGUGUUUUACUCUGGAAGUCUGUCACAAGAAGCUGGGAUUCUCUGCUCCUGGGUGUCUGGCUAAUGCUGCACCAGGUGAAUGAAGAAGGAAUUACAAUAGGACAUGCUUCCCAUCAGGAACUGUCAUGAAUCUCUGCUUUAUUGGGAAGAAAUUGUUCAGUAAUAUGAAGAAAUUGUUCACUUUUGGCAUAAGAAUUACUGCUUUAUUGGGAAGAAAUUGUUCAAUAAUUUGAAGAAAUUGUUCACUUUUGACAUAAGAGUAAUCAUCAGUGACACAGUAAUGCAUGAAAUAAAGUACUCACUACUAUUUCCUGAUCCAUUUAAAAAUAAUUUAGGCUUAAACUGACAUCAGAGAUAUUUUUCUAUAUUAUACAUAUUAAGAACAGUAUGAAUUUGGUGAAAAAGACUCUAAUAAAAACAUGAAAUUAUUUAUAAAAUGAAACAAGGCCUUGACAAAUAGAAAAAUUUAUAUGCUUUCAAAUACUAUGAAGCUAUUUCUAAAAAGUAUUAAUUAUAAUUAAUUAUAGUUAAUUAAUUAUAAUUAAUAAACUUGAUUACCUUUGCUUUUUUACCCAGGGGUGGUAUUUUGAGGCAUCCCUUAUAACUAAUUGUGCUUUGUUGAAAUCAGUCCACCAGCUUUGUGAGAUUACAUAUGAUUCUAUAUGAAUAAAUGCACCAGGUAAGAAGACACACACAUUUUUUAAAUUAAAAAAAGAAAAACAAAAUAGGUGAAAGGCUGAGAGGGAUGAAUGGAGGUUGGAGGUGAGGACACAGAAGGCAGAAACGUAAGACAAUGGUGAGAUCCUAAUCCCUUAGGAAAAAAUAAAUCUGGGAAUCAGUCUACUCCUCCCUAGGCUAUAGAUCUGAGAUCUCAAGGUUGUCUUACUUAGGUCUUAAGAGUUAGGAAACCUCCAGCUAAUGUUUGGGUAACAUCAGCCAACAUCUCAUGUUAUUCUCCUAAGAUUGUGCCAACUUCUCCCUUACUCCUUACCUAAACCACCACCAUACAUCCAAUUACUUAAGCUAAAACCUAGGAGUCAUUCUUGAUUUUGCUUUUCCCAUUACCUCCCAUAACCAACCUAUCAGCAAUUGUGUAGCCCUAUUUCCAAAAUAAACUUUGAAACUAUUUACUUGUCUCAUUCUCACUGCCACCCCUGGUCCCAGACCAUUUUCUUGGGUCUCAUUUUCUUCCUGGCUGACUGCAAGAUAAUUCUAUUUUCCCUUUAUACACUCUUGCUUUGUAUACUUCAUCCUUUCACAGCAGCGAUAUUUUAAAGCAGUAAGUAAAAUAAAUUAUUUGUUUAACAUCAUCCAGUGGGUUCCCAUCACUCUGAGGAUUGAAUGCAAACCUUUGUGGCAUGGGAGGAACCUGGCCUGGCCUGUUAUACCAGCUGAUCUCAACAGGCUCCCACUACACUGCUGGCCUUCUGGCCCCCACAGGGGCCAAGCUUUCUCCUGCUAUAGGACUUGUGUUCUUGCUAUUUCCUGGACAUGAUUGUCCUUCUCCUUCUCACUCCAUUUUCUCAUCUUUCCUUGUUAGCUCCCAUGUCCCUCCUUGUGGAGGUCUUCCCUUUAUAUUUUAUUCAAAGUUGUCCCCACUUAACCACACGCUUUCUUUAUUUCCUUCAUAGCACUCGUUAUGAUGUACAACUUAUUUAUAUACUAUUCUCCUUCCUGUCAGAGGCAGAAAAUGGCUCUUUCACUGCUCUAUUGCCUCUGCCUAGAACAAGACAUGGAAUGUAUAGUAAGCACUCCAUAAAUGUGGUUGAGUGAGAGACUUCUUUAUUUAGAUGUUCUCCUGUGCCUCUAGGAACCACUGGCCUACCACCUCUCUCUCCCUAUGGCUUAGAGAAAUCCACAGGCCUUGCGACUCCAUAUUUUGACUUUCACAUAGCCCUUUAUUGCUUCCACACCAGACUUCCUACAAAUUGACUCAUGCAAA